UACAGAGGGGGCAAGCGUUAUUCGGAAUUAUUGGGCGUAAAGCGCGUGUAGGCGGCUUGGUAAGUCCGCUCUGAAAGCCCGGGGCUCAACCCCGGGAGGCGGGUGGAUACUGUCAAGCUCGAGUCCGGAAGAGGCGAGUGGAAUUCCUGGUGUAGCGGUGAAAUGCGCAGAUAUCAGGAGGAACACCGGUGGCGAAGGCGGGUCUCUGGGCCGAUACUGACGCUGAGGAGCGAAAGCGUGGGGAGCGAACAGG
rnacentral:rRNA from 1 species